CCUACGGGAGGCAGCAGUAGGGAAUCUUUCACAAUGGGCGAAAGCCUGAUGGAGCAACGCCGCGUGCAGGAUGAAGGCCUUCGGGUUGGAAACUGCUUUUAUAAGCGAGAAAUAUGACGGUAACUUAUGAACAAGGAUCGGCUAACUACGUGCCAGCAGCCGCGGUCACACGUAGGAUCCGAGCAUUAUACGGAGUGACUGGGUGUAAAGAGUUGCGUAGGUGGCAUAAUAAGUAGCUAGUGAAAUCUGGUGGCUCAACCAUUCAGACUAUUAGCUAAACUGUUAAGCUCGAGACCGUUAGGGGUAACUGGAAUUUCUAGUGUAGGAGUGAAAUCCGUAGAUAUUAGAAGGAACACCAAUAGCGUAGGCAGGUUACUGGGACGGUUCUGACACUAAGGCACGAAAGCGUAGGGAGCAAACGGGAUUAGAUACCCGUGUAGUC
rnacentral:rRNA from 1 species